rnacentral:tRNA from 1 species
GAAAUGGCUUAGCUUGGUAAAGCGCUACGUUCGGGACGUAGAGAUCGCAGGUUCGAAUCCUGUUUUCC